rnacentral:rRNA from 1 species
AUGGGCAAUUUUAAUGAAAUUCUGUAUGCCCACGAAAAAGAAGGAGGAAAUGCAAGACCAAAUUCAAUGAUGAGAGAAUUUCGCAAUUGUUUGGGAGAGUGCAGUCUGGAUGAUAUGGGAUAUAUUGGAGAUCAAUUCACUUGGAGGAGAGGUGACAUAAGGGAGAGACUUGAUCGUGCGGUUUGCAAUCUAGAAUGGGCAAAUAAAUUUCCCUUGGCUGCUGUCGUGAAUGAGGAACAUGUUCACUCUAACCAUCGUCCUCUCAUCCUAGAUACAGAUUACUUUGAUGAUAAUAUGUUUAAUCGCCCAAGGGGUCGAACAAAACAGUUUGAAGCUAGAUGGCUACAAGAAGAGACGGUCGGGGAGAUUGUACGUACAACGUGGAACAAAGCAAAGAUGAGGGGUAUUGGCCCGUCUCUCGCUGAUCGUACAUGGGCUGUUCAUGUAGAAUUGCAUAUUUGGGACCGGGAUAUCCUGAAGGGACCAAAAAAGGAUAAAUAA